AUGCAAGUCGAGGGGCAUCGGGAUUGAAGCUUGCUUCAAUUGCCGGCGACCGGCGCACGGGUGCGUAACGCGUAUGUAACCUACCUAUAACAGGGGCAUAACACUGAGAAAUUGGUACUAAUUCCCCAUAAUAUUCGGAGAGGCAUCUUUCCGGGUUGAAAACUCCGGUGGUUAUAGAUGGACAUGCGUUGUAUUAGCUGGUUGGUGAGGUAACGGCUCACCAAGGCAACGAUACAUAGGGGGACUGAGAGGUUAACCCCCCACACUGGUACUGAGACACGGACCAGACUCCUACGGGAGGCAGCAGUGAGGAAUAUUGGUCAAUGGACGCAAGUCUGAACCAGCCAUGCCGCGUGCAGGAAGACGGCUCUAUGAGUUGUAAACUGCUUUUGUACGAGGGUAAACUCACCUACGUGUAGGUGACUGAAAGUAUCGUACGAAUAAGGAUCGGCUAC
rnacentral:rRNA from 1 species